ensembl:snRNA U6 U6 spliceosomal RNA
GUGCUCGCUUUGGCAGCACAUAUACUAAAAUUGGAAUGACACAGAGAAGAUUAGCAUGGUCCCUGCGCAAGGAUGACACACACAUUUGUGAAGCAUUUCAUGUAUUU